rnacentral:rRNA from 1 species
UACGUAGGGGGCAAGCGUUGUCCGGAAUCAUUGGGCGUAAAGAGUGCGUAGGCGGUCUUUUAAGUUUGGUGUGAAAUCUCCCGGCUCAACUGGGAGGGUGCGCCGAAAACUGGAAGGCUUGAGGAUGGGAGAGGCAUGCGGAAUUCCUGGUGUAGCGGUGAAAUGCGUAGAUAUCAGGAGGAACACCUGUGGUGUAGACAGCAUGCUGGACCAUUUCUGACGCUGAGGCACGAAAGCGUGGGUAGCAAACAGG